UUGACGCCAGAAUGAGCGUUACGUUCAUCAGUCAGAAAUUAACUAGGUUCAGUUCACGUUUGCCCAAAAUAUGAACUCAUUCAUGAACUUUCGUUUAUUAAACUCGUUCAGGUUCAACACUAUCUCUUGUUAUGUACGCUUCUUGUUAUUUACACUGAAAUGCUUAAACACUGCCGAGCCAUGAAUAUUACAAUGCAUGCUGGGAGCAUAUAUGACAGUGCACUUAGACAUUGCUGUAAAUUCUACAGUUAUUUAACACGUAGCAUGAAGUAAAAUAUUGUAACGUUCUGCAUCAUGAGAUUUUGGUUGACAUCACACACUAUAAGUACAGAGUUAUUUUUUUUUAAUCUAUGUUUUUAUUUAUUGUGGUGCUGAUGAGUCACACAAGGAAAAUGGGAGCUCUUUUGGCUUGCAGAAGAAGUAGGUGAAAUUGAGUAAUUACAAGGAAGUUCUCACUUGUAUCUAAUGCAGUUGAUGUCAACAGGUAACAGUUAUUUUAGCUUCACUUGGUAUACAGCUGAAUUGACCGGGAUGCCACUCUAUCGCACACAACCCACAGUCAGGGUUUCAUGAAGAAAAAGUGCAACAUUACUGUAAUGCGAGAGUUAAAUAAGACACAUUUACUGUCUAAAUACAAUAUAUUAUUUCUGAAAAGACUGUUUCGUUUAAUUAGAAAAAGCAGAAACAGUGAAAUGUAAAUUCUGAUCUUGUAUUGUCACUAAAAUGCAUAGACAUAUUUCCGAUAAUUGCUGAAAUGAAUACUGUGAUGAAGAAAUGCUUGGCUGCCAUUUUUUAGUUUUAUUUUUUCAUGCGAAAGGCCAAUGAUAUGCACAGGCUGUUUUACAAUAAUUUUAAAAAACAUGAUCACUGUAAAUACUACAAUUAAACAUUUACAAGACAGACUGCUUCAAAAUGUAGUGAGGACAUUCAGAACGGCUCACUCAGAGCCACAUCAAAAACAGGCAGAUAACAAAAUUGACUUGGUUGUUUAAUUUCACACCUGCUGGUUGGUGAGACACUCAACUAUUUGUGUUCACGCAAUUAAAAAGUGCUAUUUCUACAAUAUGUCGUCUUUAAAAUUGGCAAGGAUAUGAAUAAUUUGAAUCUUAACUGUACAUAAAAAGACCACAACAGACAUGAUUUCAUGACAGCGAACAUGAAACAAAAAGCUUGUCACAUGGGUUAUGCGGCCAAUCAGGUGCUUAAAUACUGUAACAAGGAAGUGAAGUGACCGCUAUAGCAGCCUUUUUUCCCCUGCCAUUGCGCUGUAGCAGCCUGGCUCAUUAUCGUGCCUUGACGAACGUCAGCUAGCGGCGGGCCAAUUAUGGCCUGCGGGCCGCUAGUUGCUGACCUCUGAUGUAAAAUCCAUCCAUCCAUCCAUUAUCUGAGACGCUUAUCCCCACAAGGGUCACGUGAGCGCUGGAGCCUAUCACAGCCUUCAUCGGGCAGGAGGCAGGGUACACCCUGAACUGGUCGCUAGCCAAUGGCAGGGCACAUAUAAACAAACAACCAUUCACACUCACAUUCACACCCACGGGCAAUUCAGAGUCCUCAAUCAACCUACCAUGCAUGUUUUUGGGAUGUGGGAGGAAACCGGAGUGACCGGGGAAAACCCACGCAGACACGGGGAGAACAUGCAAACUCCACACAGGCGGGGCCGGGGACCGAACCCCGGUCCUCAGAAUCAUGAGGCAGACGCUCCAACUAGUCGUCCACUGUUCCACCUCUGAUGUAAAAUGAUAUUGAAAAAAAAAAAAUGCCCUGAGAUUGACUGGCAACCAGUCUGGGGUGUGCCCACCCUCUCGCCCGUGGUCAGUUUUUAGAAUGGGUUCCAGCUCACCUGCGACCCUAAUGAGGACAAGUACCAAAAAUUAGGAACAUUUUCUAAUCCAACACUUCUUUCUCCAGAUGAUUGAUUAAGUACAUUUUUGACUACCCAUGAAUAUAUAAAUAAUAUUUUGUAAAUAAACAACCCUGCAGGCUCCCAAACAACCACCGUCAUAUCACAUUUGAGAGCGUAACGCCUUCUCUUUGUCUGCUUUGCUUUGUCUGUCUGAUGCACACGUAUGAGUGUCAUCAUGACAGGGCGCAAAGUGAGCCACCUUCAUGCUGGUGUCACAUGUAGCCACACUCAUAUGGAUGAAAAACCCAGCCUCUCAAUUCCAAUUUUGAGACAUUUUAUCUGCUAAUUGUGUUCCCCCCCAAAAUUGCCUGACGUCAGGCAGCGUGACGUUUUUGUUCCGAGCGCACGUGUGUGUAUCCAUGUGCACUGCACACUGAUGAAUUGAUUUCUUCAACAGGUUAUGAAUAUUGCAUGUAUGAGGAUAGGUAGAAAUGGCGAAAUGAGGCUAUAUUGUUUCUGCUUUGGGGCAAAUUCAGCCUAUGAUCAUUUCUAUGAAGGCGGUGAUAUUUUUUGAAACAGUCAAGGCUAAUGUACUAUAUUUGUGGAGACGACAAAUAUUGGAAGUGAUUGGUUUUGCUGAAGCAAGCAGGGCCUGGGGGCACACGCAUAUACCAAGACAAAGCGAUAAUUUAAGAGGGGAAGAAAAGCCAAAAGUCAAACAGGGAAGAAGCACACAUGUUCAGCAAGCCUUUAUAUAUAUACUGUAAUGAAGUGGUGACUCAUGUUUUGUCAAAACAUCAACAUGCAUGUCACAGACACACUUCCUAAAUAGAGAUGUCCGGCUGUACAUUUCAAGUCCCAUAUAUCUGAUUUAAGUGUGUUUACAUUGACGGAACACAGGAAACAACCUGCAUACGCAGAUGCCCAAACUGCACAUCCUGUAAAUGACACGCAAGUGUCCACAGUGAACUGACCACGCAAAGACAACAAUAAUAAAUAAAUAACACAAAUAACAUAUGUUACAUACUUGGCCUGGACAGUACCCCGUGCCGCCUCCUGCCCGAAGAUAGCUGGGAUAGGCUCCAUCAACCCACGACCAUAGUGAGGAGAAGCGGUAAAGAAAAUGGAUGGAUGGAUGGAUUUUAUUGUUCGGUGCCCCUGGGUUUCUUGAAAGGCCCUUGAAAUAAAAUGUUAAAUGCAUUCAUUCAUUCAUUCAAUUUCCGUACCGCUUAUCCGUGCUAUAGCUCGUCCCAGCUAUCUUCGGGCGAGAGGCGAGGUACACCCUGAACUGGUCGCCAGCCAAUCGCAGGGUACAUAUAAAAAAACAACCAUUCGGACUCACCUUAACACCUAGAGUUUCCAAUUAACCGACCAUGCAUGUUUUUGGGAGGUGGGAGGAAACCGGAGCACCCAGAGAAAACCAACAGGAAUUAUAGAUAUCUACAAUUCAGUUGCAGAAAUACUCUACUGUGUUACAGAUAUCUGCAACUGAAUAGUGCAUAUCCGUUAUGAGAAACCUGAUACACAUGAAUGGCAAAAGCUACGCCAUUUGUCCUGUAGGCAAAAUUACGUUGCACAUAUCUGUACUUCAGUUUGGACUUGGCAAAACUUGGUCUUUGACAGUUUUUGACUUGGGAAAACUGAAUGACACAAAUCUAAAACUGACAGUUUAAAUGAAAAUUCCAACUAUUCAAAAUGUAAUUACGUCUCAUCAGAUAGACAUUGUUGACAAUGUCGAUUUCGGAUAGUCAAAUUCAGCUGGGCAUUAAUAAGAUGCAUGUGGCGUGAUUCAAACCGCGUCAUUUCCUGUGGACCACAUAAAGAUGAGAGAGGGACAGAGCAGACCAGCGCAGAUCAGAGUUACGUGCAGAGACAACCUGACUCUCGAAACAACAUGUCACUGUGUCACACCAGCGAGCUCUCAUUAGCGGCUGUAUGCCUGUAUGAUUAGGUGUGAAUGACGUCACGCAUCGGGCAAACCAGAUCUCACAUUACCACAGUCUCACGUCUAAUUGGGCUGGUGCUAACUUGAAUUAUGUUAUUGUUGUUGUUGAGGGUGCUGCGACUGCUUGAUGGCUGCUCGGAGACAAGGACGCAUGAAACAAGAAAUGAAUGUCUGAGACGACUAUCUAGCUGGCUGUUCAAAACAGCUACAGUAUGCACAUGCACUCUCGGAGGUAUUAGGAAUGCACUAAGGCACACACACGCAUUCACUGUGAGCAUUUGAAUUUCACUCACAUUCUCCACUUUAGAGAGGACGUAGUGAGCUCCUGGUGGUGUUGAUGUAGUUAUAACACUGGGGAACACAAUUUUUGUUGAGUUAGGUCUGACACCUGUUUUUAACAAAUUUUUGGGUGCGGAAUCCAAAACUGAUCUUUGUUUUUCUCUAUCACGUCACAUUUUUCAACUAUAAAUCCCCGUUUUUUUUUUUUUUUUUUUACUAUGAAAACUAUUGUACUUAACAGAUAUGUGCUUAUUUUAUAACACUUUUCAAAUAUUGACAUGCGAUGAAAUAUGAAAUAAACAGGCAUGACUGCAAUGUUUACUUAACACUAUUAUGUUUUAUAUUAUGUAUGUUAUGUUUUAUAUAGGCUAUGGCACAAAUCCUCUUAAUUGCUACUAUGUUCUCUUUCUGUUUGCAGAUAUUGAUAGGACUGACCUAUUGGGAGCUGCACACACCUCUCACUGCAGUGUCUCAAUUGUGACUGCACAAACAAGUUGCCAAUCGUAAUCAGCUGGCAAGUCUUACUAUAGCUAAUCAGUGGAAUUUUGCUUAUCUGGAGGGUAAGCUGUGAAGAAAAAACUUGAUGUGCUAGGAAAAAAACGACUGCAAUUUUGGAAUCACAAUGGCAAUUUUAGUUUUAAUCAGCAUAAAAAUCUAACUCAACAGAAUUUUUUUUUUCAAAUUGUUCCCCAGUGUAAUCAUUCUCGUAUUCAAGUACUACGACCCUAUCCUGGAGGGUUAAGUGCACAGAAGAAGAGUUGUUAUCCGUGCUCAAGUGUUACCUCUGCCUGCUGUUUGCUCUGAGAAACUCACCAUUCAGGCUGGAACUAGCUUGCUGUGGGAUUUGUGCGAAGCAAGUGCCUCAUUAGUGCACAGCGGUGGUUGGUUCAGUGGGAACGCGAGGGUGAAAGGUUGUCUGUCUCUAUAUGUCCACCUUUCGCUCAAAGUCAGCUGAGUAAGGCUCGCGCUCCCUGUGACCCGGAACACGUGAUGUUCUACAAUACCGUUCCAUUUCUUGACAAGGAGGGACUAAGAACAGGCUCUAAGGAAUACUUUAAAAGAUCGUGCUCAUCUUGUGGCAGCACACAUCACCUGCCAAGGCCUGCAAGGGUGAGUCAACAACAUGAGUGUGGAUGAGUAUCAUCUGAGACAUCACCAGGGCAGCUGCUGCAAUGGCCGUGCCCGUCCUUCACGUUUUUUUCUGCACUGACAACUCUCUCGGAAACAAAAUGUGCAAGCUCCAAUGGAGAAAAACGGGAAGUCAGACAUAUCAUUAGAGAACAUCAAAAAGAUCCAAGAUACACAAACUAAAGUUCAAUCAAGCAGGAGGCAAUACAAUACUGGAGAACCUCAAAAUUCAAACCAGGAAAAUGUCACACAUAAACUCAAAAUUACUGUCAUCAUGUUAUCCCGUCGAAGCCCAAGCCACUCAUUCUCAAACUGUGUUGCAUGCACCCCUGGGAGUCUUUUAUGAUGGUUUUAUGAAGUUUGACCCUAGAACCUCCAACAUCUUCUGGAGCAAAAUUGUAUUACAAAGAAAUUAGAGGUUCUGCUGUUCAAGCUACCAAUAAACCCAUGUGUGGAACACUCCGUUAAUCCUAUUGAUACUUGUAUUUCCGUUUUUGAGUUUAAAACACAUUACUUCAACACAUAAGGUGGACACCCAUUGGAAUUGUUAUGCGCAGAAAUGACUCACGCUUAACUGUCAGAGAGCCACAUAGUGUGAACAGUGCGGGAGCAACGAGUGCAAAAGAAGACAUAUUUGAGGAUAAAUGCAGCGUUGAGAAUGAAGGAUGCCCGAGGCCCUUCUCUCACAGCUGAGUUGUCGUCACCUCUUCAGAGACUGCGAAGCAGCCUCAGGUUCUCACCCUGCUCAGAGAUGACGAGUAAUGAGUGAGAAAGAGCCCACAAUGCUCAAAUGAUAUAGCGUAGAGGAAGAGCAAAGCUUCACAGAACAUUCACCUUGAGUGUUUAACAAGGUCAGCAUGUGACAUGGUGACUGAAUCAGCUUAGUGGAAGUAUGAUGAUGUGUUUGUUUGUCACCUUUGUUUUACUGUGUGUGUGUGUGUGUGUGUGUGUGUAUGUGUGUGUGUGUGUGUGUGUGUGCGUGCAUGCGUGAGAGAGAAAUAACAUAUCACUCCAUCAGCAAAGUGCUACUUCCCAUUCAGCAACAACCCCGCUGAAGGACAGCAAAACAGGGGGGUUGAGUGUAUGAAGCAGAUAGAGACCGUGUUACUGAACCACGCAUGACUCGCCAGCUGUCACAAUGCAUGGCACACAGGAAGGUAGUGUAGGCGGUGGAUUGCUCCACACAAGGAGCCUUCACUGAAGCCACCUUAAGUUGCUGCUUUUUUGUAGGUCUAGUUUUGUAUUCAAUAAUUUAUAAGCAUGCUCUGUUAGGUUGAGACCACUGCACUGACAUUGCCAUUAAAGAAUUUACCUUUGAAAAGUCUUUAAGAUCGUUAUCAAUCGGGACUGGUUAGCUCUAAACUGUGAGGGGCCGUUUGGGACAUUAUUCAGGAUUAGCUCUCACACUUACUAUUCAAAUGCUUUUACACACACACAAACUACUGAAAGGCUCUCAUAAACACAACUCAAACAUUCUCAUACCCACGAGUCUUGCUCUCAUAAAGACUACUCAAAAACUCUCAUUCACACCAGAUUUGAAGACUGCUUGUGUGGAGGAAUGGGCCAAAAUCAUGCCAGAACAAUGCAUGCGACUAGUUUCUCCAUACAGGAGGCGUCUUGAAGCUGUUAUUGCAAACAAAGGGUUUUGUACAAAGUAGUAAAUAAAUACCAGUUGGUGUGUUGGAUGUAUGGAUUACUUGGGUUGUUCCCAAC